GGUGAAGAUGUGACAUGAUUUGAUCUUCCAGCAGCUCUAUGACAGAGAUGUCAGGUGGCUUGUUGUCGUCCGCUCUGGUCACGUGCUCUCGUCUAUAUGAGGGCUCUGCUGCGCAUGCGCACUGCUCAGUGUUGUCAGCGCGUCCUCAGUCGGGUCUCUCAGGCUCGUGUGGGUCCUGUAGGUGUUGAGCGGUGCAGAUGCUGAUGAUCGGGGGUCAGAUGAAGCCUGUGUUUGAGCGGGACGCGUGCGGGCUGGACGGCAGCCGGUCAGUUCAUUCAGAUGCUGCUCACGUUAUGAAAUAUUAACAGCCAUCAGAACACAUUCAGUGCAGCCAGAGAUCACGAUCGUUAAUUAGAGUAAAACUGACAUCACAAAAUGGCUUUGUUUAAUUAUUGAAUUGCAAAGCCUGUGAUUUAAGUAAUUUUUGUAAGUGUUUUUUUUUUUUUUUUCAGAAUGAAGCAUCUGUAAAUAACAUUGGAUGCCCAAAUUGUGCAUAUAAAUAUAAUGUAAAAUAAAAAAAUUAAGGUAAAAAUAUAUAGUAGAUGU
ensembl:lncRNA